AGAGAGUAGCGCACUGGUGAGUAACACGUGGGAACGUACCUUGAAGUGGGGAAUAACGGCUGGAAACGGUCGCUAAUACCGCAUAAUCCCUGAGGGGGAAAGAUUUAUCGCUUUAAGAUCGGCCCGCGGAAGAUUAGGUAGUUGGUGGGGUAAAGGCCUACCAAGCCUACGAUCUAUAGCUGGUCUGAGAGGACGAUCAGCCACAUUGGAACUGAGACACGGUCCAGACUCCUACGGGAGGCAGCAGUGAGGAAUAUUGGGCAAUGGAGGCAACUCUGACCCAGCCAUGCCGCGUGAGUGAAGAAGGUUUUCGGAUUGUAAAGCUCUUUCGGGUGUGACGAUGAUGACGGUAACACCUAAAGAAGCCCCGGCUAACUUCGUGCCAGCAGCCGCGGUAAUACGAAGGGGGCAAGCGUUGUUCGGAAUUACUGGGCGUAAAGGGAGCGUAGGCGGUUUAGUAAGAUAGUGGUGAAAUGCCAGAGCUUAACUUUGGAAUUGCCAUUAUAACUAUUGAACUAGAAUUAUGGAGAGGAUAGCGGAAUAUCCAGUGUAGAGGUGAAAUUCGUAGAUAUUGGGUAGAACACCAGUGGCGAAGGC
rnacentral:rRNA from 1 species